CGAGAGGGCGGGAAGUGGGCGGGGCUCGCACCCAUUCCCUGUGAGGAGCUGUGAGGAGAAGCAGGUCCCCCUGUGUCCCCUCAGUGCCGUGGGAGCAUGGAGAGCAGAGAAAGCGCAGCAAGCGGGGCUGAGGGUGGCUGGUUGGAGGAGUCCCUGCUGGACUGCGCCUUCGCUGCCUGUGACACGGAGCAGACAGGCGCGGUGCCAGCCUGGCGCAUCGUGGAGUACCUGCGGGCGGUGACGGGGCGUAGCGGCGAGGAGCAGCAGCUGCAGGAGCUCAGGCAGAUGCUGGAGCUGACGGCAG